UCCCUGGUGGUCUAGUGGUUAGGAUUCGGUGCUCUUACCACUGCAGCCCGGGUUCGAUUCCUGGUCAAGGAA
rnacentral:tRNA from 1 species